rnacentral:rRNA from 1 species
CCUACGGGAGGCAGCAGUGAGGAAUAUUGGUCAAUGGACGCAAGUCUGAACCAGCCAUGCCGCGUGCAGGAAGACGGCUCUAUGAGUUGUAAACUGCUUUUGUACGAGGGUAAACGCAGAUACGCGUAUCUGUAUGAAAGUAUCGUACGAAAAAGGAUCGGCUAACUCCGUGCCAGGAGCCGCGGUAAUACGGAGGAUUCAAGUGUUAUCCGGAUUUAUUGGGUUUAAAGGGUGCGUAGGCGGUCGGAUAAGUUAGUGGUGAAAUCCCGAGGCUCAACUUCGGAAUUGCCUCGGAUACUGUUCGGCUAGAGAGUAGUUGCGGUAGGCGGAAUGUAUGGUGUAGCGGUGAAAUGCUUAGAGAUCAGACAGAACACCGAUUGCGAAGGCAGCUUACCAAGCUACUUCUGACGUUGAGGCACGAAAGCGUGGGGAGCAAACAGGAUUAGAUACCCCUGUAGUC